GUGUCGCCAUAUGGCAAUAUUUAAAAUUCAACCCAAUGCCCAAGUAUUUCAAUUAACACUAACGAAACAAAACAGAACAAAAUGUCCUUUCUGAGUGUGUCGACGUGCUGCUAAGACAAUCCUUCACUUAGUAACUUACGAAUUUUUCUGAGUUUUAGAAUUCUAGAUCUAAAUGUGUACUGUGGCUAUUUUUGUGGAAUCACAAGAAGUUGAGGGCUCGAUGAGGCUGUGUCUAUUGCCUGGCUGUCACCAUGCCAGACCAUUGUGUCAUGGCCACUUUUUAAGGGAACAAAGGUAUUAAGUAUUAAUGCAUGAAACACCAGCAGCCAACUGACAAAACUUGGCCGACCUAUCAUAGGAUCCUAAGGCGCUAUAAAAACUAAGAGGAAGCCAAAAAAGGAUCUAUUUUGGGACAAGAAACAUCAGAUUUAAAGGAAGACAUAUCUCUUCUAUCUUUAGGAGGAGGAACAUAAUGAAAAAGAGGACUUUUCAAAUUCGGACGAAGAAACUCAGCCAUAUACAAAAAAUAGCUAAGAAAAUCACUGCACCUUUAUCACCAAAGAAUCUACAAUCAAUAUUUUGAAAACCCUGCUGGAGGUUAAGCACCAGGGGAUUUCACUCUCUGAGCAAGAGGUGGGAUUAGAAGACAAGGUCCAGCAACUUGGGGGGAAGAAAGUUUUGCAGCGAGCCUGCCCCUUUCUAGCCUGGUAGAAUUUGAUAACCAUGAGGAGAAGUUGUCUGAUCCAAUAUAAAGAAAGUUUUUGAUAGACUAAGACAGUUUGCAGCACCCAGUGCCAAACUCUGGAAGAACCUGAGAUGCCGCUGACCCUAAACUGUAUCGGCACUGCUGUUCCUUUGGAUACAUCAGCUGGGUGGAGUGGGGGGAACUGAUGUGUGGGCGACAUCGUUCCGACCACAGCUAAUGCCCAGGCAUUCAUCUCAUUUCCAUGAGAUGAUCCAUAGUCGCUUCGCGACUAAAGGAGGCCAUAGAACUGUGACAUUUUGGUGGUAUAAAUUUGAAACAGAUAGCAAUAAAACUAUUGGACUUUGUGAUGACAACAACAUUGCAAUGUGAUUUCAAUUGGGCAGGAAACUAGGCUGGAAAGUGAACGGAGUGGCAAGAAGAGGGUUCCAACAUUGUCAACUUUGGGUGAUAAUUACAGCUUCUGUUCGACAGACAAAACAUUUUAAAGCAAGCAAAGAAGAAGAAAUAUUUUUAUGCAUAAAAGUGUAUCUUAGGAACACGUGUGACAGGCAAGAUAGUCAGGAUAGAAGAAGGGAAAUUUGUAUUAUAAUUUUAUUAAAAUCCUUUUUAUUAUUAUGUCCAAAAUUUUUUUUACUACUUUACAGUAUUAGAUUCAUUGAUGCUUUAGCAUUAUAUUUCCUUGUAAAUUCCUUUUUAUGAGUAUAUGUAUAUGCAAACAAAUUAUUUUCUUAAUCCUUUCUUUUUUCAUAUGCUUUUGGAGAGACAACUCAAGUGUGAAAAUAUGAGUUUUUUUACUUUUAGAAUUGAAUUUGUAUUUUAAAUUUUUAUUUGUUGUUGUAAAUAAUUCAUUUUUUUUUAAUAAUUGAUGUGAUUUUUGUUUGUGCAUUACCCUAACCCUAUAUAUUUUGAUAAAAGCUAUUUUUGUAUGUGUCCAAAGUCUUUUUUUUUUUUUUUUUUUUUUAAACCCAGUCAGAAGUUAUAAGAUAAUAGUUUUUAAUUAAAUAAUUGAGUGAGAGAUAACUUAUAACAUUAAUAACAUUACAUUUAUUUCCUUUUUUUAUUCUACAUGUAUAUUUAGUGUAUUUUUAUAUUUUGUGUCACGCAUACAUUUUUUUUCAAUUUCUUGUUCAGUGUUUUAUCAAGUUUUGUAUGAGCUUUAUGUUAAGUUCCCAUUUUAAAUUAAAAGUUAUGUUUGAUG